rnacentral:rRNA from 1 species
UACGUAGGGUGCGAGCGUUUAAUCGGAAUUACUGGGCGUAAAGCGUGCGCAGGCGGUGAUGUAAGACAGAUGUGAAAUCCCCGGGCUCAACCUGGGAACUGCAUUUGUGACUGCAAGGCUGGAGUACGGUAGAGGGGGAUGGAAUUCCGCGUGUAGCAGUGAAAUGCGUAGAUAUGCGGAGGAACACCGAUGGCGAAGGCAAUCCCCUGGACCUGUACUGACGCUCAUGCACGAAAGCGUGGGGAGCAAACAGG